rnacentral:tmRNA from 2 species
GGGGUCGUAAAGGUUUCGACGGGGAUUCUGAAGUAUGAGUAGCGAGUAGAGGAGCAUGACCUCUAUAAAACAUGACGUUUUUAAAGUAAACGACAACGAUACUUUAGCUUUUGCGGCUUAAUUAAGCCGUCGUCCUACCGCGGAGUACCACGGCCGCGGAUAGGGCGUCGAUUAGUGGUGAACGAUCUUGCGGAGCGGCCUCGUACGCAUGAUUGUAUCAGGGGAUACCGAGCUGCGUAGCCUGUCGGCUGGCGACGCGGCAAGGGAAUUUUAAAGAACCGACUGCACUCGGAGAAACUUAUAUGGACGGGUUUUCGGACAGGGGUUCGAUUCCCCUCGGCUCCACCA